GGUGUGGUUCAGUGGUAGAGAAUCUGUCUUGCAUGCAGAGCAUCCUAGGUUCAAUCUCUGACAGCAGCA